ACUUUCCUAGUAUAAUUAGUACAGCUGACUUCCAAUCACCCAGCCUCAGUCAAAUCUGAGGGAAAGUA
rnacentral:tRNA from 1 species